rnacentral:rRNA from 1 species
UACGUAGGGACCAAGCGUUGUUCGGAUUUACUGGGCGUAAAGGGCGCGUAGGCGGCGUGUUAAGUCACUUGUGAAAUCUCUAAGCUUAACUUAGAACGGUCAAGUGAUACUGAUGUGCUAGAGUGCAGAAGGGGCAACCGGAAUUCUUGGUGUAGCGGUGAAAUGCGUAGAUAUCAAGAGGGAACACCUGAGGUGAAGACGGGUUGCUGGGCUGACACUGACGCUGAGGCGCGAAAGCUAGGGUAGCAAACGGG